AUGCCUCUGAAAAAAGACAGAAAAGCCCAUCCACUCUUGGACCGUAAGCUAGCCAUUCAUGUAUUGAAGUCACUGGAGGCUGAUGUAAUGAUAGCAACCAUUCAUGUUGGCAGACAAGAGAACUCUGUAUGUGAUACAGAAGACUGGGGUGAUUUUAACUGGCCAUUCCUCACAUGGAAUCAUUGUUGUAGGGCUCUGAUUCGCUGGGCAUUGACAGAUUUUGAAGGGGGCGUGAGGUGGUCUGAGCUAGCACAAUGCUUCCAGAGGGUGUCUCCUUCCUCCUUCAGUCUGGCCUUCACCUAGAGAGAGGUAUCUCUUUCCUCUUUAAGAAGGAAUAAAAGUUCUUGCAACAUGGAGAGAAGAAAAUCACCAAUGAAACUCCCUGCAUUUUUAAUGACGCAUCACAAUCUCCAGCCAACCACCAUAUCAGGACUGGAAAUGAAGAAAGUUCACUUUAAUAUCAGACUUCUGCUUGCUCAGUAG
rnacentral:lncRNA from 12 species